rnacentral:rRNA from 1 species
AUGCACUAUAAACAAUCUCCCGUGCCCAUUGGUAGCGAAACCCUAGAAUUGAAUCGAGGCACCGGUGGCGGCGGCGGCGGCGAGCGAGCGAGCGAAAAAGAAAUCGAGGAUAAGGCGAGGGAAGAGGCAAUCAUGUCCCUCCGACGGGCCGUCAGUUUCCUCCUCACACGGAGGCUCUCGUCGCGGGUGAUCCCAAGGACGGCUCCUGCACGCUCUUUCCACUCCUUGGGCCUCCCCAUCGGCGAUGGCCUUCGUGGUGCUGCUGGUGUGGCCGCGGCCGCUGCUGCGUUUGCUGGUGCUGGAACCUUGGCAGUUCAAUAUUUCAGGAAAGGCCCAAAUGAUGAUGAGCCAGCUACUCGCAAGAAAGAGCAGGACAUCUAUAUAUAUAAAGAGGAGGAGAUGCAAGAGAGGUUUGAGAAUUGGAUGAAGCGGUUCAACAAGACAUACCGAAACGAGAAAGAGAAGGCUAUGCGGUUCCAAGUAUUCAAGGAAACCAUGAAGUGGAUUGAAUCGCAGCCCCCAUCUUCCCAGAAGCUUAUGCUUCCAGGAAACUGUUUUGCAGACUUGAGAAGCGAGGAGCUUCCGUGCAGCCAGACCUGUAUCGGUGAUUUAGAUGACCCAGACACUGAAGAUUACCGCGAGAACAAGUUUGUCACCGAGAAUGUGGAAGGACAAGCAAUCGUAUGGAAGCCAGUAUGGCCAGCCGUGAAGCAGGGUGGCAAGCAAGCAACUCAAGUCUCUGCCUAG